AAACUUGGAGGCCAGUGAGGACAAAAAUAAAAAGUUAUAAGACUUUGAAGAAUGUGGAUUUUUGGGUCAUCUUUGGCACCCCCUAGAAUGUAAACCGUGGGGUGCAGCGUCAUGAUUUGUACAACUUUGAAUGGCCAUGGGGUAUAGAUUGGCCUGAGCAAAUUUGAUGCCGGUGGAACGAAAGCCUUCGGAGGAGUUAGCAAAAUUCCAAUUUGUCCGGAUCGGCAAAAAAUGCGAAAAAGCCCUUUUAUUGUACAUUUGACAGAUACGCGCGCAUUGAGUUUUUCGUAGAUCUUAUAGAGAUACACGUGAUUGUCAAAUUUUGUGUCAAUAUGACAAAGCGUACAGGCAUGACACUCAACAAUGUGUAUUUUCACCUCAUGGGACAAGAAAAAAUUGACUUUUUUCUCCUGCCAUGGAGGGGCGCUCUUUUGGGGAGAAAAAAUUCCUCCAAAAUUAUGUUGAUGGCUGGACAUUGCAUCAUCCUAGAAAACUUGGAGGCCAGUGAGGACUAAAAUAAAAAGUUAUAAGACUUUUAAGAAUGUGGAUUUUUGGGUUAUUUUUGGCGCCCCCUAGAACCUAAACCGUGGGGUGCAGCGUCAUGAUUUGUACAACUUUGAAUGGCCAUGGGGUGUAGAUUGGCCUGAGCAAAUUUGGUGCCGGUGGAACAAAAGCCUUCGGAGGAGUUAGCGAAAUUCCAAUGUGUGCGGAUCAGCAAAAAAUACAAAAUAGCCCUUUAACCGUACAUUUGACAGGUACGCCCACACUGACUUUUUUGUAGAUCUUAUUGAGAUACACGUGUGUGUCAAUUUUUGUGUCAAUAUGACAAAGCGUACAAACGUGACACUCUAUAGUGUGAAUUUUCACCUUAGGGGGCGCUAUGGAGCCAUUUCACAUUUUAUUGUUUGGGUGACUUCAGAUUAUCAAAUUUUUCACCAGGCCCGGUCUUCCUGCCAAAUUUCAUGAGUUUUCGACGGUGGGAAGUGGGCCAUUUUUCCCUUCAAAGGGGAGGAAAAAUAAGAAAGAAAGAAACAAAGAAGAAUCCAUCAGGAAUAAUAGGGCUCUCGCAGCUGCUUAGGAGCUACGCUCGGGCCCUAAAGAAAGAAGAACCCAUACAGGAAUAAUAGGGCUCUACGCCCGGCUGCUCUGCAGCUGGCUUGGGCCCUAAAGAAUGAAGAAAGAAAAACCCCAUCAAUGACAAGAGGGCCUACGCCCACUAGUGGGCUCGGGCCCUAACUAGGGCCCCGUUGGGGCACUGGCGGGCCCGAGCCCUGUUGCGCCGCCCCCAACGCGAACGCAUCCCCCUCCCGAUCGCAUCACACUCAAGGUCCAAAGAUGGUGUGCGCACCUGUCUGUGGUCAUUUACCAUUAUAAUGAACGGAAGGUGCAGUUUCUAUCAAAACGCUCGCUGCAGACAAACUACAUGUCCUAUUUGAAAAAAGUCUGGACCAUGAGUGAGGGGACAAACACAGCUAGGAUAUAUCCAAAUGGCAAGUUGCUCCUCCUUUCGGUUUUAGCGGGAGAGCAAUACGUUUGAGCCAUUGAGCGAUGGGCAGGAAAAACUUGACUUUUUCUCCUGCCAUGGGGGGUAAGGAAAAUGACCAAUUUUUUUUAUCAAACAUUAUAAAAACUGGUUAUCUCUUGCAGGGCAUCAAAGUCUUGAAUAUGUGAAAGAUAAGUAAUAUGAUUGACUUUGAUGCCUUUUAACUUUUUCUGUAGCAUCAGAUUUAAUAGAAAGCUCCCUUUGGCGCCCCUCAGUGGCCAUAACUACCUUGUCUGCUGUUAAUAGACAACUCCCUUUGGCGCCACUCAGUGGCCAAAAGUACUUUGUCUGCUGUAAAAUCAAAUUGUAUUCAUAUUUUUUCCAGAUUUUUCUUUUUUACAUCUCUUAUUUUACUUCUGCCCUGUUCAAAACUAGCAAAUGUUUCAUUGAAAAUAUUUUUUUAACCCUUUAAGAGCCCAUUCAAGACAUAAAGUCACUAAUAUAGCAAAAAUUUGAGCCUUUUAGCUUUUUCUGUAGCAUCAGAUUUAAUAAACAAAUCCCUUUGGCGCCUCUCAGUGGCCAUGACUACUUUGUCUGCUGUUAAUAGAAAACUCCCUUUGGCGCCACUCAGUGGCCAAAACUACUUUGUCUGCUGUAAUGUAUAUUUGGGUCAUCUUUGGCGCCCCCUAGAACGUAAACCGUGGGGUGCAGCGUCAUGAUUUUGAACUUUGAAUGGCCAUGGGUUGUAGAUUGGCCUGAGCAAAUUUGGUGUCGGUGGGACGAAAGCCUUAGGAGGAGUUAGCAACAUUCCAAUGUGUGCGAAUCGGCAAAAAAUGCAAAAUAGCCCUUUAACCGUACAUUUCACAGAUACGUGCGCAUUGACUUUUUCGUAGAUCUUAUUGAGAUACACGUGUGUGUCAAAUUUUGUGUCAAUAUGACAAAGUGUAUAGGCGUGACACUCAACAAAGUGUAUUUUCACCUUAGUGGACAAGAAAAAAUGGACUUUUUUCUCCUGCCAUGGGGGGGCGCUCUUUUGGGGAGUAAAAAUUCCUUCACACAUGUGUUGAUGGCUGGACAUUGCAUCAUCCUAGAAAACUUGGAGGCCAGUGAGGACAAAAAUAAAAAGUUAGAAGACUUUUAAACAUGUGGAUAUUUGGGUCAUCUUUGGCGCCCCCUAGAACGUAAA
rnacentral:lncRNA from 1 species